rnacentral:rRNA from 1 species
UACGAAGGGGGCUAGCGUUGUUCGGAAUUACUGGGCGUAAAGCGCACGUAGGCGGAUCGAUCAGUCAGGGGUGAAAUCCCAGGGCUCAACCCUGGAACUGCCUUUGAUACUGUCGAUCUGGAGUAUGGAAGAGGUGAGUGGAAUUCCGAGUGUAGAGGUGAAAUUCGUAGAUAUUCGGAAGAACACCAGUGGCGAAGGCGGCUCACUGGCCCGGUACUGACGCUGAGGUGCGAAAGCGUGGGGAGCGAACAGG